rnacentral:rRNA from 1 species
AACGAACGCUGGCGGCAUGCCUAACACAUGCAAGUCGAACGAGACCUUCGGGUCUAGUGGCGCACGGGUGCGUAACGCGUGGGAACCUGCCCUUAGGUUCGGAAUAACUCCCCGAAAGGGGUGCUAAUACCGGAUAAUGUCUCCGGACCAAAGAUUUAUCGCCUUUGGAUGGGCCCGCGUUGGAUUAGCUAGUUGGUAGGGUAAAAGCCUACCAAGGCGACGAUCCAUAGCUGGUCUGAGAGGAUGAUCAGCCACACUGGGACUGAGACACGGCCCAGACUCCUACGGGAGGCAGCAGUGGGGAAUAUUGGACAAUGGGCGAAAGCCUGAUCCAGCAAUGCCGCGUGAGUGAUGAAGGCCUUAGGGUUGUAAAGCCCUUUUACCCGGGAUGAUAAUGACAGUACCGGGAGAAUAAGCUCCGGCUAACUCCGUG